UGGUGGAGUGAUUUGUCUGGUUAAUUCCGUUAACGAACGAGACCUCAGCCUGCUAGUUAGUUUCUCCAAUCUUUGAUUGAGAGAAACAUCUUAGAGGGACUCUCGGUUAUUAACCGAUGGAAGUUUGAGGUAAUAACA
rnacentral:rRNA from 1 species